AAAGUACCAUGAGAAUUCCCAGAAAAGGAGCAGAUCUGGAGAACAGGGAAUAAAGCCUCUGGUUCUGUUCAUUUUGCUCGUUUUCUUCUUUUAAAAACAAACUCACGUCCCAAUGAUUAUGAACUUGAUGUUAUGUUGAUUAGUUCCAUACGGCCAGACUUUCUGUAUAUUGACUUCCUCCAGGCAAAUACUUGAAGGAUCAGGAUGAUGUUGUAUUUCCUCGGUACAAAGCCAAAUCUGACCAGUUACUGCUAACAAUCAGCAGGCCAAUACUUGAAGGACCAGGACAAUUUAGUGUUUUCUCAGUACAAAGCCAAUUGUGACCAGCAUCUUACAACAACCACCAGGAUGUGGCCAGUUCUGCCAAGGUGGCAAGUGGAUGCCAAUCUCGAAAUAUCCUUGAAUGGAUCGACAUUCUCAGCCUGAAGGCAAUGAGGAGUUUGCAAAGGUCUAGGAGUCACGUGCAGAGCAGAUCAGGAUUUGAACCCGGGUCCCCAGAACAUCACUGGAACAUCAGGAUUAACAGUUACGCGAUAAUCCCAUGAGGCCAUCGCUUCCCCAUUCAAAGGUCAAGCCUGCCGCUCUGGAGGUGUGUGAUCCCCCAUCCUGACAAUGUGGCGUUUCCAAAAUACCUGCAGCGGAGAGAAACCCCCUACGUUCCUGUUCCCACAAUGGGUUUUGGAAUCUCAGAAAGCCGAGUUGAAGUGUCCAGCAGGGGUUUUGGUUCAUUGGGUGAUCUAGUCUUUUCCGUAUAGACUCUGUUUCAGCCAUGCCUUUUCUAUCCAGUUUGUUCAGUGGCUUGCAGCUCAGUGUGUGUUCCUUCUGUGGGGCCAGAAGUUGUUCCUUCCAACCCUACACCCCAGGUCUCUUUCGCCCUGGAAUGUAACCAUUGAAAUUGGCUGGUUUCUCUUUUUAUAUAUCUCCCAACUGACAGAUCCUUCUGGCAAUUCCUGUUCAAAGUUGGUCAGAAUGGGGGAGAUUCCUGUUCCAUGCGCAGAAGGUGGCAGAUGAUGUCUUCCUCCCCUUAAACAUGGCCCAACUGAAAAGCUCAAUCCUCAGACAUGUACAUGAGAGGGAAGCAGAGGCAGGUAUUAAAUUUCCAAAGACCACCAGCUGCUGAAAUAGUUUUGAAUUUACAAAACUAACAGCCUGCAAUGUCCAGAACAGACCAACAGAUGCAACAACAUGAAAUUAGCUUCAAAAUGAGUGGAGCAGAACAAUGUGUGAAAGAUGGUUUCCAUCGCAAAGUUCACAAGUUUGCGAUCUGUACACAGGAGUUACAUUGUACCUCUUAAUGAGACAGUCUAUAAAAAUCGAAUGACCCGCCUCUCAUCUGUCUUCUUCUUUCUUACUUGUGUGGAAUAUUCUCGUAAACAUUUCCAUCCGCUCCAUCUUCUUCCUCUGAGAGCUCGCUGAGCUUCAGUGUGGCGUAUGUGAUACAGGAAUCAUUGGGGUCAGGCUUGGCGUCCUGCAACUGGAAUGAUAUUGGAAUGGAAUUGGAAUUGAGUGGGAGCAGGAAGGUGAAGAGGUGGGAGAGGUCGUUUGUAGGUAAAGGUAGGAGUGGAUAUCAGUGGGAAACAGGAAUCACCAACAGGAAGUUCAGUGCCACAAGUUAGGAAUCUGGGUAGUGCAGUGGUAAUUUCCCUACCUCUGAGCCAGGAGGCUGGGGUUCAAGUCCCACCUGUGCCUGAGGUGUGCCAUACAGAUUAUAAAAGUGGGAAGGUGAUGUCAGAGCUGUACAGGACUUUGGUGCGGCUGCAGCUGGAGCACUGUGUGCAGUUCCAGUCUCCGCACUAUAGUAAGGAUGUAAUUGCACUGG